rnacentral:miRNA from 1 species
GCAAGCAUCCUUGGCGACU